GCAGGGAAGUUCGUUGUGGAGGAAGUGGCCCGGGCGGCUGACGGGGAAGACUACAGGGGCCAAGAGCUCCGCUAGGCUGUAGCUGGCCGGAGCCAGAAGAAGCUGGAGGAGGUGCUGAGCUGGGCGGCCGAGAGACUGGGAAAGCCUCAGCUGAAGUCCAUUGACAUUAUAAUCUGCGACGUUAGUGAC